rnacentral:rRNA from 1 species
UACGGGGGGGGCAAGCGUUGUUCGGAAUUACUGGGCGUAAAGGGCUCGUAGGCGGCCAACUAAGUCAUACGUGAAAUCCCUCGGCUUAACCGGGGAACUGCGUCUGAUACUGGAUGGCUUGAGAUUGGGAGAGGGAUGCGGAAUUCCAGGUGUAGCGGUGAAAUGCGUAGAUAUCUGGAGGAACACCGGUGGCGAAGGCGGCAUCCUGGACCGGUAUUGACGCUGAGGAGCGAAAGCCAGGGGAGCAAACGGG